UUCCUGAUGGCUCAGACAGUAAAGAAUCUGCCUGCAAUGCAGGAGACCCAGGUUCAAGCCCUGGGUCAGAAA
rnacentral:tRNA from 1 species